AUGGAAACCAGACUUCUCAGCUGUGUGGGCAUUUGCCUCCUUGGAGCAGGCCUGUCAUAUGGCAUUGUUCUCCAGAGCUCAGGAUACCUGGUCCCAGGCACAGGACAAGAUGUGGCACUGAGAUGUGAUCAGGACCAGAAUUAUGUUUAUAUGAACUGGUACCAACAGGAAACAGGACAAGGGCCAAAGGAACUUUUCCUUUCCUUUAAGCUCUCAGGUGAUAACAAGGAAAAGGACAUCUCUGACAAUUUCAAAGCCAGCCAGUCAAACAUGAAACUUUAUUACCUUAACAUCAGUUACCUGAGUGUGGGAGACUCAGCUAUAUAUCUCUGUGCUAUUAGCAAACACAGUGUUGUAGAGUCACCUCCUCUCUGUGCAUAA